CCUACGGGAGGCAGCAGUGAGGAAUAUUGGUCAAUGGACGAGAGUCUGAACCAGCCAAGUAGCGUGAAGGAUGACUGCCCUAUGGGUUGUAAACUUCUUUUAUAUGGGAAUAAAACAGGGUAUGCAUACCCUCUUGUAUGUACCAUAUGAAUAAGGAUCGGCUAACUCCGUGCCAGCAGCCGCGGUAAUACGGAGGAUCCGAGCGUUAUCCGGAUUUAUUGGGUUUAAAGGGAGCGUAGGUGGAUUGUUAAGUCAGUUGUGAAAGUUUGCGGCUCAACCGUAAAAUUGCAGUUGAAACUGGCAGUCUGUAGUACAGGAGAGGUGGGCGGAAUGCGGUGUGUAGCGGUGAAAUGCUUAGAUAACACGAAGAACUCCGA
rnacentral:rRNA from 1 species